rnacentral:rRNA from 1 species
UCCGCAUCUUACACAUGCAGUCGAGCGGUAAGGCCUUUCGGGGUACACGAGCGGCGAACGGGUGAGUAACACGUGGGUGAUCUGCCCUGCACUUCGGGAUAAGCCUGGGAAACUGGGUCUAAUACCGGAUAUGACCUCCUAUCGCAUGGUGGGUGGUGGAAAGAUUUAUCGGUGCAGGAUGGGCCCGCGGCCUAUCAGCUUGUUGGUGGGGUAAUGGCCUACCAAGGCGACGACGGGUAGCCGACCUGAGAGGGUGACCGGCCACACUGGGACUGAGACACGGCCCAGACUCCUACGGGAGGCAGCAGUGGGGAAUAUUGCACAAUGGGCGAAAGCCUGAUGCAGCGACGCCGCGUGAGGGAUGACGGCCUUCGGGUUGUAAACCUCUUUCAGCAGGGACGAAGCGCAAGUGACGGUACCUGCAGAAGAAGCACCGGCUAACUACGUGCCAGCAGCCGCGGUAAUACGUAGGGUGCAAGCGUUGUCCGGAAUUACUGGGCGUAAAGAGUUCGUAGGCGGUUUGUCGCGUCGUUUGUGAAAACCAGCAGCUCAACUGCUGGCUUGCAGGCGAUACGGGCAGACUUGAGUACUGCAGGGGAGACUGG